UUAGCUCAAUCAAAGCGAAGCUUAUUUGUAUUGUUUCCAUGAACCUAAACAAUGUUGAGAAACUUGAAUAGGAUAAUGAUUUUAAGGAAAAGAAAAGAAAAUAAAUUAACUUUAUUACAAGUGUUUUGGUCGACAUUAUAAUUUGUAGAAAAUUAAGUCAACAAAUACUGUUAAAAAUGUAGGAUGAGAUUUGUAGGAAAAACUUUUGGAAACUGAUAAAUCCACAAUAAAAAAUGAUAUUUCUACAUGAAAGCCAUCGUUAUAGAUCUUAUAGUGACGGUUUUCACCGUUGCUAUACAUCUAUAGCGACACAUUUUAUGUGAAAAAUAUUAAAAAGUGACGUGAAAAGAUCAAUUUUUAAAACUUUUUUGUAGGAAACUAGUUAAUGGUGGGGACUUACAUUUUUU
rnacentral:lncRNA from 1 species